UUUUCUUCUUUUUCUCUCUUUUUUCCUUGAAUUCGACCACCAGCUGAUGGAGGUCCUUUUAAUGUUGCUCUCCCCUCUAACUUCAUGCCAACCAUCCCAUAUUUGUGGAGGAUUUUGUGGGGUUUUGAAUUUUGAAUUCAAAAUUUAAGUUCAUGUGCCAUUACAUGAUGAAGCUUGAUCUAAUCUAAACCAUUCAUCAUGUUGCCACUUCCCUCUUUCAAUUUCGAAAUUCCCAUGCCCCCAAUCAGAUUAGAGGGUCACGUGGUGAUUUUGUGGUGAUUAAAUUCGAAAUUCAACCUUAAUUAGAAGU
rnacentral:lncRNA from 1 species